UCGCAGUCGGUGCCGCAGUUUAUGCGGGCAAAAGGGAAACAGGUGAAACGCCUGUGCGAUCUCGUCACCGUAUGCGGAUCGGCGUCGCCACGCAGAUGCUGCCACUGAGCAAUCGGGAAGGCGGCGGCGCCAUAUGCCGCAAGCCGGGAAACCUGCCGAAUGC
rnacentral:ncRNA from 1 species